ensembl:lncRNA
GGAUUGUUGAACUGCAAACUGUUAGUGAAAAACUGGUUAUUGCGUCUUCAUGCUUGAGUGUUGAGAUCUUGUUUGUCGUUGUAGAUUACCUGAUCUCCCUGUUCCCCUGUGCACAGGUUUUGAACCCUUCUUGUGGUGUGGUAAGUUUCAAGACAAACAAAGCAGUGAAGAUGGACGUGCUGCCCUGCAUGAUGCUCGUCUUCCUGCUGUCAGUUGGAGCCUCUCUGGCCCAGGUGGAUCUGACUCGUAUCGUAAGAAAAAUCAGAGGACAAUACAGCAUAGAUGGACAGUUCUGUCUGGCUGCAGUCAUCCCGGUAGAUCUGAACCUAAACACUCUUAACCAGGUUUUUGAGGGUGAUCCCUUUCAGGCUGUUCUGGGAAAGAUUGGGGAAAGAACCUCAGACAAUAACAAUCGUGGAGUGUAUGUAGGCCAGAGGGUGAUUGUGGCCAGACCAACAUCACCUGAAGGCGGACGAAGUGGACAACAUGCAGAAAGUCGUGUUCUGCAAACCCUGAGAGAGCGGCUGGAAACUGAGAACCUGAACAGAUUCCUAAACAGCCAGGACAACUUCCUGCUCAUCUACUCUUUUGCCUCUGCAUGUGAUACAUGCACCAGCCGCUACCAUUCAUCGAGCAUCAUUGAGGACCUUGAACUUAUCGCUGAAACCUACUAUUCUGUAUUUGUGUUUAAAAAAAUCUUUCAGCCCAACAAUCAGCCUCCCAUUCCUGAAAACAUUUUGGCUGAUUCCCUUCGUUCUCUUGGUGAUGCCAUCGGUGGGCUUAAUAACAUCUUUCGUUGUGACCCAGAUUGUUACAGCUGCUUUGGAAGGGAAACAAACGCAAUUUCACAAUAUUGUAUUAUUAACAAUGCUUAGUGUUGGGUCUAACACUUAAACCCCGCUGACUCAGAGACCAAUCACCUGUGUACAAAGGAAGAUCACACAGAACUCAGUCAGUUUUUACUUGCUGCGCAAAGGGAGUCCAAGCUCUUCUCCUGAUCUCAGUUAACUCUAAACUCCAGCCUCCCCUCUCAGUUCUUCUAUUAACCUCAAAUUCAAAUUCAAAUUUUAUUUGUCAC